UGGGAGGUGAUGAUUAUUUCCCAAAUGAUCGAAAUUUGAAUACAAGGCGAUUUUUCUCAAUAUAUUUUGGGAGUCCAAGCCAGAUUUCUGAUCUAU